CUCGCCCACCGCGUCCGGCGGCUGGGGAGAGACAGCGCACCGCCACCACAGAAGAAGACGGGCACAGAAACAAAAUGAAAGUUUCUUCAAGCUGCACCUUCAGCCCAACAUGGCAGAAAUCCUGGCAGGUUUGUUGACUGCAGCUGGGCUCUGCGUGUCACCGAACAUUUAAACCAGCUGGGCAUCCCGUACAGACACUCAACUUCUUUACACAACGGAUCAGGAUUCAGACGCCUGAGCAGCACAAACCUCUGGAUUUAUCUUCUUCUACACGCAGGAGAAGGAAAACUCUGGGCUGAAAACCAAUAAAUCACACAAUGAAUC